UCCUACGGGAGGCAGCAGUAGGGAAUCUUCCACAAUGGGCGCAAGGCUGAUGGAGCAACGCCGCGUGAGUGAAGACGGCCUUCGGGUUGUAAAGCUCUGUCNGUNGGGACCGAGGACCCCGGGCAACGCNNGGNGGGACGGUACCGUUAAAGGAAGCCCCUGCUAACUACGUGCCAGCAGCCGCGGUAAGACGUAGGGGGCAAGCGUUGUCCGGAAUUACUGGGCGUAAAGGGCGUGUAGGCGGUGCGUUACGUAGCGGUUUUCAGCCNCCNGCUCACCCGGAGGAGGGCGGCUAAACGGCCGCACUGGAGGGCAGGAGAGGUGCAUGGAAUUCCUGGUGGAGCGGUGAAAUGCGUAGAGAUCAGGAAGAACACCAGUGGCGAAGGCGAUGCACUGGCCUGACCCUGACGCUGAGGCGCGACAGCGUGGGGAGCNAACGGGAUUAGAUACCCCGGUAGUCCACGCUCGUAANGAGAUNGAUGGUAGUGUNAGCGGGNUUCCAGCCUACUCGUGACNGNAUGGUCAGGGANNCCAAUAGGCNCUGCCUGAAACUCNNNNCCAGNUGACNGG
rnacentral:rRNA from 1 species